CCAGACUCCUACGGGAGGCAGCAGUGGGGAAUAUUGGGCAAUGGGCGCAAGCCUGACCCAGCAACGCCGCGUGAAGGAAGAAGGCUUUCGGGUUGUAAACUUCUUUUCUCAGGGACGAAGCAAGUGACGGUACCUGACGAAUAAGCCACGGCUAACUACGUGCCAGCAGCCGCGGUAAUACGUAGGUGGCAAGCGUUAUCCGGAUUUACUGGGUGUAAAGGGCGUGUAGGCGGGACUGCAAGUCAGAUGUGAAAACCACGGGCGCGACCUGUGGCCUGCAUUUGAAACUGUAGUUCUUGAGUACUGGAGAGGCAGACGGAAUUCCUAGUGUAGCGGUGAAAUGCGUAGAUAUUAGGAGGAACACCAGUGGCGAAGGCGGUCUGCUGGGCAGCAACUGACGCUGAGGCGCGAAAGCGUGGGGAGCAAACAGGAUUAGAUACCCCGGUAACA
rnacentral:rRNA from 1 species